UGUCUGUGUGUGUGUGUCAGUAUGUCUGUGUGUGUAUGCCAGUAUGUCUGUGUGUGUAUGCCAGUAUGUCUGUGUGUGUGUGUGUGUGUCAGUAUGUCUGUGUGUAUGCCAGUAUGUCUGUGUGUGUAUGUCAGUGUGUCUGUGUGUGUAUGCCAGUAUGUCUGUGUGUGUGUGUGUGUCAGUAUGUCUGUGUGUAUGCCAGUAUGUCUGUGUGUGUGUGUGUCAGUAUGUCUGUGUGUAUGCCAGUAUGUCUGUGUGUGUGUAUGUAGGUAUGUCUCUGUGUGUGUGUGUACGUGUGUGUCAGUAUGUCUGCCAGGAUAUAUUUGUGUGUCAGUGUAUGUGUGUGUCAGUAUGUAUCUGUGAAUGUUUUAAUGUCUGUCUGUGUGUAUGUGCCAGUCUGUCUGUGUGUAUGUCAGUAUGUCUGUGUGUGUGUGUCAGCAUCUCUUUGUGUGUCAGUAUGUCUGUCUGUGUGGUGUGUGUCUGUGUGUAUGUCAGUAUGUCUAUGUGUGUGUGUGUGUCAGUCAUGUCUGUGUGUAUGCCAGUAUGUCUGUGUGUGUAUGUAUGUAUGUCUGUGUGUGUGUGUGUGUGUGUGUCAGUAUGUCUGCCAGGAUAUAUUUGUAUGUCAGUGUAUGUGUGUGUCAGUAUAUAUCUGUGAAUGUUUAAUGUCUGUCUGUAUCAGCCAUUACGUCUGUCUGUGUAUAUGUCAGUAUGCCUGUGUGUGUGUGUGUGUGUGUAUAUAUGUCAUUAUGCCUGUGUGUGUGUGUCAAUGUGUCUGUCAGUGUAUGUGUCUGUGUGUUUUAGUAUAUCUGUCAGUGUAAGUGUUUGUGUGUGUGGCAGUAUAUCUGUUAAUGUAUGUGUCUGUGUAUGUAUGUAUGUAAUGUAUGUAUGUGUCAGUAUGUCUGCCAGUAUAUAUUUGUGUGUAGUGACUGUGUGUGUCAGUAUGUAUCUGUGAAUGUUUUAAUGUCUGUCUGUGUGUGUAUGUGCCAGUACGUCUGUCAGUGUGAUUGCGGGUUGGACGUAAUUGGGAGGUGAGGCAGUGGCAGGGACAGGGCCCAUGGGGCCCAAGAAAAUGCAUUGCCCAGGGUCCUAAUCAUAUUAUAGACGGCCCUG